AUUGAACGCUGGCGGCAGGCCUAACACAUGCAAGUCGAACGAGUGGCGGACGGGUGAGUAAUGUCUGGGAAACUGCCCGAUGGAGGGGGAUAACUACUGGAAACGGUAGCUAAUACCGCGUACCAUCGGAUGUGCCCAGAUGGGAUUAGCUGGUAGGUGAGGUAACGGCUCACCUAGGCGACGAUCCCUAGCUGGUCUGAGAGGAUGACCAGUCAGACGGGAACUGUGACGCGGUCCAGACUCGUCCGGGAGGCAGCAGUUGGGAAUAUUGCACAGUUUGGGCAAGCAUGAUGCAGUCAUGCAGCGGGGAUGAAUAAUGCCUUCGGGUUUUAAAGUACUUUCAGCGAGGAGGCGUUACCCGCAGAAGAAGCACCGGCUAAAGCCGUGCCAGCAGCCGCUGUAAUUC
rnacentral:rRNA from 1 species